AGAGAAGGUAAACAUUGACUUUCAGCAUGUUCUCUUUAAUUUUUGCUUUUUCCUGUAUUCCAACUCCUACAAGCAGUAGCAAAGGCUAUAGGAAAGAUCCUCUGACUAAGCAUUAGCUACCACCAUGGCCUCGUUAUAGCUGAGGGCUCUUAUUCUUGCUUAGCCUACGUGCGGAGCCAGCUAGUCUUUCAGCUGUGAUGACGAAAUGCCAUGCAUCUCUUCCUGGAAUGGGACACAGAUAAGCAGCCACUUGUUAUGCUGAGGUUUCAGAUGAACUGUGCUAAGGGUUUCAAAACAGUCUGUCACAAUUAUAUCAGGUUUCUUUAGCAACCAAUUCGUUUCAGACACUUUUAAGAUAAAAAGGGAACAGAUGAUGGUUUAUUUUCCCUUGUGGUUACACUGUUUAAACCUUCACAGGAUAUGACUGGACAGUUUACACAUAGCCUGAAUUUAUUAAUUUUAAAUAAAACUGGCAGAUUAAAAUGGAUCUGUUCCUAUCUUGAAAUUCACUUUAUCUAUAGUCUAUAGGUAUACCUGUUGCUUCAGAGAAGAAACAAAGAUGUUAUGGAUGUGAUACGCUGCUUCCAAUGUCCUGCUGUGCAAAAUGGAUUUCUGAGAACGUUAAUUCUGGAUCCAGUAAAAGCCGAGAGCAUUCGGAACUGUGUGGGACAAAGUGCUGGUGCUUUGAUCUCAGGGUUGAAUUCAGAUGUGAGAACUGAAGAAGUCCUGACCUUGCAGAACAAGAUACAUAAAGAAGCCUGUGAUUCUCCACGACUUUUGUACUCUCUUUUUUUCAAAAUGUGGAAGACAACCUAAAUACUGCCACUAGCAAGUCUUUUAAAUGCCAGAUAGAGUUAGUCUGCACAAAAUGUAUAGUCCACCAAGUACAAAGAUGAAUUGUGGGCAUCUUCCUUGGAGUUGAAGUUUGAGAGUUUGAAGUUGUAAGCUUAGAUCUUAAUUAAAUACCACAAUGACAACUAUACUAGAAAUUAUAUUUCUUA
ensembl:lncRNA